rnacentral:pre_miRNA from 9 species
CCUCGAUAGCGUAAAAGUUAAUUCGAAUUUGUAUGUAGUUGGAAAGUUUACCUACGUUUGCCGCUAGGGGCGCUGUUUCAACUGCAUACAAAUUUGAGUUAACUGUUACUGUAUCGU